rnacentral:rRNA from 1 species
GACAGAGGGUGCAAACGUUGUUCGGAAUUACUGGGCGUAAAGCGCGUGUAGGCUGCUCAGAAAGUCGGAUGUGAAAUCCCACGGCUCAACCAUGGAAGUGCAUUCGAAACUGCAGAGCUAGAGUCCUGGAGAGGAAGGUGGAAUGCUUGGUGUAGAGGUGAAAUUCGUAGAUAUCAAGCGGAACACCGGUGGCGAAGGCGGCCUUCUGGACAGUGACUGACGCUGAGACGCGAAAGCGUGGGGAGCAAACAGG